rnacentral:rRNA from 1 species
UAUAAAUUGAGAGUUUGAUCCUGGCUCAGGACGAACGCUGGCGGCGUGCCUAAUACAUGCAAGUCGAACGAAGCUUUUGAUUAAUAAAUGCUUGCAUUUAGCGAUUAAAAGACUGAGUGGCGAACGGGUGAGUAACACGUAGGCAACCUGCCCAAAAGA